GUUUCCACCAAUCACAUUCGGCGAACUCACCCCUCGGUCGCGUUUCCUGUGACUGUAGAUUAUCAAGUUUCGUUGGAUUCAACUUUGGCUCGACGCCGUUUGUCUGCUGAACUUGGCUGCAGUCAUGGUGAAAAUAUUUAUUGGUAACCUCGCCCAGGAAACCGAGAAAGAAGAACUGGAGGCUCUGUUCGCUCCAUACGGAACAGUGACGGAAUGCGCAAAGUUUAAAAAUUAUGCUUUCAUCCACAUGGAUGACCGCAAGGCGGCCACAAAGGCCAUCAGAGAGCUUCACUUCCAUAAGCUCAACGGCCGACCCAUCAACGUGGAGCCCAGCCGAGCUAAGAACCAGGGCCCCAUGAAACUCCACGUCGCCAACGUCGAGAAGGGCCACGAGAAAGAGCUGCAGGAGCUGUUCGAGGAGUAUGGCACCGUCUCAGAGUGUGCCAUUGUGAAAAAUUUUGCUUUUGUUCACAUGCCCAAUGCCGACGAGGCCAUGGAUGCUCUGGAGGGUCUGGACAACAGCGAGUUUCAAGGAAAGCGCAUAAAUGUUCAGGUUUCAAAAAGCAGACCAAGAGGGGCCCCUGAGGAGGAUUACUAUCCACCUCCGUCCGGCAGAGGCAGUUAUUACCCGCCUCGUUACCCUGACGACAGGCACGAGCCCUACAGAGGCCCCAUGUCUGCUUACGGCGCACCGCCACCUAUGCCGCCCCCUCCGCCCAGGCGUGGGGCGUACCCCGACCGCUACGGCGACAACUACGCUGGAAUGGUUGAUUACUAUGAGAAAUACCGCGCCCGAGGCUACAGCACUCCGUAUAACGACAGGCGCUCCAGUGCCAUCCCUCCUCCUCCGCCGCCUUCGUCUGCUCUGGCCCAGCGUCUGGGCCUCGACCCAUACGACCGCCGCCCAAUGCCACCGCCUCCAUCGUAUAUAGGCCGGGACAGAAGCCCUCUGCGCAGGGCGCCGCCGCCCCCUCCACCCGCGGGUAACGGCUUCUCCUACGAGCGCUCCCGCCUCUCCCCUGUCUCCAAAGGCUCCUCGUACGGGGUCCCGAGGUCUCGAGACAUGUACUCUGAGAGACUUCCACCGCCGCCACCAGCUCGAUACGCCUAUUAGACUAGUCCAAGUUCCCCAGUUUUGGGUUCACAUUCACGGCCUACACCGACCUUCAUGUCAUCCUGCUGCUGCUGUACUCUGCCCACAGUCUCGGGAUGCUUAGUAUUUGUGCUUCUUGUAGGUUUUUAGAUCGCGUUAGAGGGUCUUCUGAUGGUAAGUGCUGCUUGAAGACGGGAUAUAUCCUCAAGUAAAGAGGUACGUUUUUUGUUUUAUUUUUCUCUCUUGUGGCAUGAGUUGGGAUGUUUACGUUUUCUACACCGAUACAGUUUAGGAUGAGUCGCUUCUCUCUCUCCACACAGGCUUGUUGCCGCUUGCCGGGAGCUUGCAGCGUGUGUCCGGCCUCCCCCGUCAGCGCCUAUAGACACGGUUGGAACAUUCCGUUUUAUCUUAAGAUGGGUCCACUGGUCGGGUUUGGGAGAAGAUGCAUCGUCCACUGAUGAAGACCUGGAUGUGACCGCGCCUUUACUGCAUUUUGAUAAAACUAUAAAACUACUUGAAAAAGCAAAUACGAUCUACACUGAACUGGUUUGGCACGAUUGUAAUGUGCACCAAGUCAUACCAAGCAAUUAGAAACAAAAUACCAGUGUACGUUUUUGCCUUCUUCCUUGUGCUUCACUUCUUCCUCUUAUUUCAACAGUAAAUAAAAAAAAAAACUAUUUUA